rnacentral:lncRNA from 1 species
AUGCUGCUUCUGGCUGGAGAGCUCUGGUCCCCUCACCCCUGUCUGGGCUUCUCUGCAGCGGAGUGGAGUCCAGCCUCUUCACAUGGGAGCAGCUUCCCAACCAGCUCUGUCCCCUGGUCCAGUCAGCUAUCCCGGCAGUGCCUGCCCAGUACCUGUGGCCCUUCUUUAUCACGCUUCCUUGGGACUUGCCGCUUGUGGAACUGUCCCUCCCUGGUAUACCAGAGCACUCUGGAGCACCAGAGCAUUCAUGUGGAGACUGGGGUGCACUUACUAGUUUUGUACUAUAGGUGUUUGUGUUUGGCUUUAGAAGUCAUGUAAUACAGAUUUGCAAAAAGUAUUCAUGUGAGCCUUGGGAGAGAGUAAAACACCAGUUUUGUACCUUAUUCUUCGGUGGAAUCUGGCAGACCGCUGGCAGAAGCCAGGGAACUUGGUAAUGACAUUUGGAUUUGGUGGAGGGACAGGCAGGUGAAUGGUGCCCUUGACCAGUGCAUCUGGGAGCGCUGGUGUCUGUGAAACUUUUGUGUUUGGAAAAAUCCUUGAUAACUUGGGCUGGACUGGAGGUACAGGAAAGCUUCACCGGUUGGAAUGUGGUUACCAUGGAGAAGCUGUGUUUCUAGAAAUCAGCCUGAGUUUGAUGCUGAAUUGAGUUAGAGCUGAGACCAGACUGGGGGCCGGAGAAGACAGGAGCUCCCUCUCAGGAGCCCUCUGCACCGCAGCUGGAGGGGACACCCUGCCCACUCAGCCCUCACAUGAGGCGGGGCCUAGCUGUGACAGGUGCCCCCUGCGGGUCUGGAAGGAGUGUGGGGGACACAGCGCCUGGGCCAAUGGAGGAAGAAGGUCACAGUGUGUGUGGGUCUUGGAGAAGUGGCCUCUGAUUUCCCCGGGCCUCCUCCACGUUCUCUGGGCCGCCCAGCCCGUGACCUGCUGCAGCCCAAACUUCCAGGCCUCUGUCCUCCUAGGAGGUUGUCUCUAUCUCCUGUCAGCAUCUGCAGGUCUUUCCCCCGGUCCCCAACAUUUCAAGACGGAUGGUGGAGACCUAACCAGUGCACUCCUAUUCCUCAGUCCCUUUUCCAGGAGAAACUUGGUUUGUUUACCUCGGCUGCUGAUUUCCUUAGUGGAGAUAAACAGCAGGACAUGUGGUCCUCUGUUCCGUUAAAGAGAACAUGAAAUACUCAGCCAUGAAAUGAGCACGCCAUCUCUUACCGCCAUCUGAACGAGCUGGUCCAGGUAGGGGACGGAGCUCUUUCUGACAGUGAAGUGCACAGCGCCUCGAUGCCGCUGGGAAGUCGGGAAUCCGCAGGAUAACAUUUUCCCAGGAUUCUCUGCAGUAUAGAACGACUUUAACUCAUCUCAGCUGACUCUCACAACAACCCUAAGAGAGCUGGGCGCAGUGGCAUUCACCUGGGACCCCAGUACUUGUGAGACUGGGGAAGGAGGAUCGCUGUGAGUUCAAGGCCAGGCUGGAUUAUAUGGCAAGAC